rnacentral:rRNA from 1 species
AUUGAACGCUGGCGGCAUGCCUUACACAUGCAAGUCGAACGGCAGCACGGGAGCAAUCCUGGUGGCGAGUGGCGAACGGGUGAGUAAUAUAUCGGAACGUGCCCAGUCGUGGGGAUAACGUAGCGAAAGCUACGCUAAUACCGCAUACGAUCUAUGGAUGAAAGCGGGGGAUCGCAAGACCUCGCGCGAUUGGAGCGGCCGAUAUCAGAUUAGGUAGUUGGUGAGGUAAAGGCUCACCAAGCCGACGAUCUGUAGCUGGUCUGAGAGGACGACCAGCCACACUGGGACUGAGACACGGCCCAGACUCCUACGGGAGGCAGCAGUGGGGAAUUUUUGGACAAUGGGCGGCAAGCCUGAUCCAGCAAUGCCGCGUGCAGGAUGAAGG